rnacentral:rRNA from 1 species
UAGGGAAUCUUCGGCAAUGGACGCAAGUCUGACCGAGCAACGCCGCGUGAGUGAGGAAGGCCUUCGGGUCGUAAAGCUCUGUUGCCAGGGAAGAACGCUUGGGAGAGUAACUGCUCUCAAGGUGACGGUACCUGAGAAGAAAGCCCCGGCUAACUACGUGCCAGCAGCCGCGGUAAUACGUAGGGGGCAAGCGUUGUCCGGAAUUAUUGGGCGUAAAGCGCGCGCAGGCGGCUAUUUAAGUCUCAUGUUUAAACCCAAGGCUCAACCUUGGAUCGCAUGGGAAACUGGGUGGCUUGAGUACAGAAGAGGAGAGCGGAAUUCCACGUGUAGCGGUGAAAUGCGUAGAGAUGUGGAGGAACACCAGUGGCGAAGGCGGCUCUCUGGUCUGAAACUGACGCUGAGGCGCGAAAGCGUGGGGAGCAAACA